GAUGAACGCUGGCGGCGUGCCUAAUACAUGCAAGUCGAGCGAACAGACCCGGAUCUUUCUCCUCUUACGUUAGCGGCGGGCGGGUGACUCAAACGUGGGUUACCCUCCUUUCUGACUUGGAUAACUUCGGGUAACCCUAGCAAAUACCGGAUAAUUUAUUUACCCGCAUGGUUUUAUAGAUAAUAACCGUUUUUCUCUCAAUUCUCGAUUUAUCCGCGCCGCAUUAGCUAGUUGGUAAGGUAACGGCUUACCAAGGCAACGAUGCGUAGCCGACCUGAGAGGGUGAUCGGCCACACUGGAACUGAGACACGGUCCAGACGACUACGGGAGGCAGCAGUAGGGAAUCUUCCGCAAUGGGCGAAAGCCUGACGGAGCAACGCCGCGUGAGUGAUGAAGGUCUUCGGAUCGUAAAACUCUGUUAUUAGGGAAGAACAAAUGUGUAAGUAACUAUGCACGUCUUGACGGUACCUAAUCAGAAAGCCACGGCUAACUACGUG
rnacentral:rRNA from 1 species